rfam:Triticum aestivum genome assembly, contig: Triticum_aestivum_CS42_TGACv1_scaffold_605186_7DL
UUACAUCANACUCAGUUGGUAGAGUACAAAGCUCUUAACCUUGUGGACGUGGGUUCAAGCCCCAUGGUGGAGA